GUGAUUUGAUACGGCUGGAUUUAAAACCCACCAAGGAUACCUAAAAUUUAUCCUAUAUAUAUACAAUUUUUGCCUAGCUUGCACCUAUAUUUCCUUGAAAUUACAUAGUGAUUACCGAAAUCUAACUCUUCUAAAUUUUGAUGCCACAUAUAUGCGCGUGGCACUGCAGAGUGCGGUACAUUCAUAGAUGGCCACAAUUAUAAGAUGGGCAGCCAUCAAACAAUAUACAUAUAGAUACCGACGGUAUUAUACAUG
rnacentral:lncRNA from 1 species